GCAAAACAUAUUGAUCUUUCGCUCCUAUUGCAGUUUCAUCAAGUCAUAUUUUAUGGGGUUCUCGAACAGUCUAAAUUCUAAUGUUUUAACCUCUUGCUCCCGAUAAUAAACUAAAUACUACCCUUUUGCAAUUGAAAACGUCAAUCAAGCUUGCGGUAAAGGCAUCACGUUUCUAGAAAAAUCGGCCAACUUAUGAACGUUUUCGACUAUGGAAAGCACGCGAUGGCCAAAAUCAUUACGUCCCAACUACGACUCAAUAAAAGUAAUUUAACGGGAAGUUAACAAAGUUAGAGGACAUUCCAUUUGCCUAAAUGGCGUAAAUGAAAUACAAUUAAAGAAAGACCAAGUCUUGGGGGUUCUUUCUCCUUUGGGUUUCCGUAGCUUCUAACAGAGGGUUCAUAAUCUCGUUUCUGCCCGUCUCUAGAAUUUAGGAGUGCCUUGCUGAUGAUAUGGGGCCUGGUCCCUUCUCCCGUGGCAUGAAUGAUCGAGGGCAUUGCUGACAAAGGCUUUACCAAUAAGCAUUUUGAACAAAAAGCCAAUUCCGAGCAUAUAAAAGGACCACUCUAGAGCAAGCAGUUUAACAAUCAACGAUUGCACAUUCAGUGAUACACAACUCGUAAAAAAAACUAAGAAACACUCCAUUCAACAUGCCUCAAGGUUGUUGCGACAAAUGUCAGUGCGGAAAGCCCGACUGCUGCCAAAAAGACUGCAAUUGUAAGACUUGCGAUUGCAAAUGCUGUCCCAUGAAGUAAUGACAAUCGAAUGUCUUCCAAAAAUGCAAUAAAGUAUUAACAUCUCA